rnacentral:rRNA from 1 species
GACGGAGGAUGCAAGCGUUAUCCGGAAUGAUUGGGCGUAAAGCGUCCGCAGGUGGCAGUUCAAGUCUGCUGUCAAAGACCGGGGCUUAACUUCGGAAAGGCAGUGGAAACUGAACAGCUAGAGUAUGGUAGGGGCAGAGGGAAUUCCUGGUGUAGCGGUGAAAUGCGUAGAGAUCAGGAGGAACACCGGUGGCGAAGGCGGGAUCCUGGGCCAGUACUGACGCUGAGGAGCGAAAGCGUGGGGAGCAAACAGG